UGGCUGGGUUAAUCCUUUGCAGAUGGAUUGACAACCGCGGCUCAAUUGAGCGAUUGAUAACCACAGUGGAUACGGAUAUCGAUCAGGACAAUCGCUGUGAAGGGCUACGCAUUGAGUGCCGAGUUGUUGUGAGCGAGUUCGAGGGAGGCAACAAACGAAUUUGCCAAAUUCAGGUGCAUAAUACUUAGGCCGGGGGAGUUGAUUGAUUGAUUCUCAAGGUGUGUGGGCUUUAUUACUCAUUUUCCUGCCAAGCUGCGUUGCGGUCCCGCGCAGGUUGCAAAGGCGGUGGCCAGAUCUGGCUGGAUGAAGUUGCUGUGCCAGGUUUCGGCAAGCCUCAUGUGUUGAUUUCAGUCCACAGUGGAGUAGAUUCCUGCAGCCAAGUCACUAUUGCUUCUCCUGUGGCUGGCAACCAUGCGGACGCAAUGGUGGCGUCUCUCGACGUCCCUUCUUCAACGUGCAUCUGGCACCAGUGAACUUCAAAUGGAGUUAGUGUCACAAUUCCCUUGUAAAUUGCACUUGAAAACUCUCCCAUUGCUGCACCAGUUGCGAGGGAUUGUCUCGCCAUCACUGCCUGCAAAGGAGGGCCCGUUGGAGCUGUACCAAGGCAUGGUUGCUCUAGGAGCAUUACUAUAUGAUGCGAGACAGGAGAGCGUAGCGGAGGCUUUGAGUCAACUCCUAGGGAAUAUGAAACAGUACAAUCGCCAGAUGAAAGUUUAUCAAGAAGAGCUAAUGCAGUGGGAUAUAAAAAGAAAGGAAAUGAGAGCGAAGCUGAUGCAAGAGGAAGCUACGUUUGAAGCGCGAAGACGUAUUGCAAACUUAGAAACCCAGGGAAAAAACCGGCUCUCUCGAUGGUUCUCCAGAAGGACAAAAAAUAUUUCCGUGGAACCAAGUUCUGGGUUCAUGGUCGCCCGCAUCGAACGGGAGAAGAAACUAGAUUCCAUAGUGGGACGGCGGCCUUCAGCGCCUAAAGCGCCACAGGGAAUCUAUUUGUAUGGUAACGUUGGUUGCGGUAAGACGCUUCUCAUGGAAUUGUUUUUCAAAUCAGCAGAGGGGGUCAUUCGCCACAGACGAAGAGUGCACUUUCAUGCAGCGAUGCUGGAAAUUCACUACCGGAUGCACAUGCUCAGGAAUCAAGGGAAGCUUAAACCGCGGUCUAAAUUGAAUCAGAUUAAUAGAGUAUUUGAACCAAUCCCUACACCAUCUCUAGAGGAUGCUACCAAAGAUUGGCUGGAAGCUGCUGAACGGUUUGAAGCUGAGCAUCAAUCAGAAAGCUCAAUAUUGAACGCAGUUGCAGAUGAGUUAAUUGGGUCUAGAGAUGAUAGUGAAGGAGGGGCCAGCAUCCUCUGCUUCGACGAAGUUCAGGUUUUGGAUGUCUUUACAGCAGUCGCGCUGUCUGGAAUCUUGGUAAGACUAAUAACUCGAGGAGCUGUGAUCGUAGCAACCAGCAAUCGAGCACCGUGGGACCUUAACAAGGACGGUCUGCAAAAGGAGUUGUUUGCGGCAUUUGUUAACGAAAUCGAGCUCCAUUGUAGGUCUAUGCUUGUUGGAACUGAAACAGAUUAUCGACGUGUCAUGGCCACACCACUCAAGGGAGAGCUAACACACUACUUCUGGCCUUUGGGUGGUCAAUCCCAACUACAACUUGAACGGCUUUGGGAUGAAGUCACAACACCAACACUUAAUCAGGCCGGCUCAUCAAUUGCACCUAACUUCAUACCUGUUAUGUUUGGAAGGAGCCUAGAAGUCCCAGAGAGCUUCGAUGGUGUGGCACGAUUCACAUUUGAACAAGCGUGUAGUCGUCCGGUUGGAGCGGCGGACUAUAUAGCACUCGCCCAGCACUACCAUACCGUAUUCAUUACAGAUAUACCAGUUUUGAGCAUGCGCACAAUUGACAAACUAUUGCUUGCAUCAAGAUAAAUCGUAAAUCCACGUGGGUUAUGUCAACCAGGCCAGAAGGUUCAUAACACUGGUGGAUGAGCUCUACAAUCACCACUGUCGGCUCAUCUGCAGUGCGGAAGCGCCACCGGAUGAUCUCUUCUUAGGCACUAUGGAUGGAUCAAUUUUCGAUCUAGAAAAUUUACAGUUUGAGACGGAGGCUGAAGGGGGGCGAUUGCGUCGUGAUGUAACAGCAGAGGGCAGCGUGGCGCCAGUAGGAGCAACUAGUAGCACAAGAACCAGUAUCCAAUCCAUAUUUUCGGGACGAGAAGAAGCCUUUGCUUUCCGUCGCGCGGUAUCCAGACUUUUGGAAAUGCAAACUCCAGUUUACUUGCAAACGUUGGAUUGCCACCCAAAAAAUCAAAGACCUGGAUCAGCCAGAUGAAUCUCCUGGAAAGUGAAUUAUAGAUUAAUUCCAAAAUGACUGCGCAUUAUUGAUUAAUUUAGAUGAACCUUCAUGCACUCCACUAAAAAUAACACACAUAUUGCGACUUUUUUACGAUUCUUGCCUAAUCGGUCAUUUGCCUCUCUUUUCAAAUGUAAUAAAUCAAGGUCAGGCUUUUCAGUGACAUAUGUUGCUUUCAA